rnacentral:tRNA from 1 species
GGGCGGUUAGCUCAGUCGGUUAGAGCGCCUGUCUCACAUACAGGAGGUCGGAGGUUCGAGUCCUCUACCGCCCA